rnacentral:lncRNA from 1 species
GGGCAAUUACUCCAACAAGGAGUCUUUGGUUAAUUUUUUCCAUUUUGUCUUAAUUGUAGAUGUUGCAUUGUUGAUCAUUUUUAAAGUUUCUAUCUAUCUAAUAUAGUUUUCAAGAUAAUAGCUACAAUGUAAAAAAAAAUUGGAAAGUGUCCAUAGGACACAGUUAAAGCCCCUGCUUGCAUAAAAUGUUAUAAACGAACAUACAUCGACAAGAACAGUAAAAGUAAUGUUUAUGUUUGAAAUCAUAAAAUUCAAAUAAAAGUAAGAUGAGUUCUGCCAAACCGAC